rnacentral:rRNA from 1 species
AGCUCCAAUAGCGUAUAUUAAAGUUGCUGCAGUUAAAAAGCUCGUAGUUGCAUUUCCGAGGCAAGGGAUUAGUCCGACCUUUGGUGGGUAUUUAAUCCUCUUGCCUCGUCCUUGAGUGGUGCUUCUUGGUAUUAAGUUAUCGAGGAGAUAGCCGCUCAUCGUUUACUGUGAGAAAAUUAGAGUGUUCAAAGCAGGCUUAUGCCGUUGAAUAUAUUAGCAUGGAAUAAUAAGAUAGGACCUCGGUACUAUUUUGUUGGUUUGAGAACCAAGGUAAUGAUGAAUAGGGACAGUUGGGGGUAUUCGUAUUCAGUUGUCAGAGGUGAAAUUCUUAGAUUUCCGAAAGACGAACUACUGCGAAAGCAUUUACCAAGGAUGUUUUCA